UAGAACUAACAAACAAACUUCAAAAAAUCCAGAUUCCACAUAAUUCAACAUUGGCUUCAUUUGACAUCUCCAAUCUGUACACCAAUGUACCUAUACAGGAGACAAUAAAAUACCUAGAAGAUAUGCUACAAUCAAACAACACCCCACAGGACAUUAUGCAAGAAAUAAUAACUCUAACCAAACUUGUAACCUCACAAAACUAUUUUGAAUUCAAUAGUAAAUUUUAUUUUCAACCCCAUGGCCUCCCUAUGGGAUCACCCAUAUCUUGCAUUCUAGCAGAGAUUUUCAUUCACACUAUAGAACAAAAACACAUCCUACACAACCAUGAUCCCAAAUCACACAUCCAAUCCAAUAGAAUACUCACUUGGUUCCGAUAUGUAGAUGACAUAUUAAUACUAUACAGGGGGAACAAACGACAACUUGAAACACUACACACCCACCUCAACCGCAUACACCCAAAUUUGACGUUCACACUUGAAUUAGAAACCAACAACAGCAUAAAUUUCCUGGAUAUCACCAUCACAAAACAGAACCAAUCAUUCAAAAUAUACAGAAAGCCCAAAACAACCGACACCACAAUCCAUUGCACUUCAAAUCACCCUAUGCAACACAAACUUGCAGCCUACAACCACAUGCUAUACAGAUUAAUAAAUAUCCCAAUGACAACCACAGAUUACAACACUGAACUGCACACAAUAAAAUAUAUUGCACAACAAAAUGGAUACAAACCCUCAAUGAUUGACAAACUACUACAAAAAAUUAAAAACAACAAGAACAAUCCACAAAACUCUGACAAAUACAACACUGAUAAUCAUACAGCAUUCGUCACCCUCACAUACCACAACAAUAAAACUUACAAAAUAGCAGCAUCAUUCAAGAAAAUAAAAUACAAGGUUGCAUACAGAACAAAAAACUCACUGAAAAAACUCUUGUCCCCACACAACACCUCUCAAAAUCAAUACAAUAGACCAGGAAUUUAUAAGCUAAAUUGUAGAGAUUGCAGCAAAUUCUACAUAGCUAAAACAGCUAGAAAUUUCAAUAUAAGAUUCAAAGAACACACAAGAGCCAUUACCCAUCCGUCCUCCCAUUCCACCUUUGCAGAACACAUUAUCUCCACUGACCACACACACCCUGACAUAGACAACAACCUCGAAAUACUCCACUAUUCCCACAAAAACAGAAAAUUAAAUGUUCUAGAACAGUUUUAAAUAUACAAACACACCAAACAGUAUUCUAAAUGACCAAAUCAACUUUUCCUCCCACACCCUGUUUGACAAACUCAUUUAAAUAUCCUCCAUUAACCACCAAAACUCCCCUCCACCCCAACCAAAUUUCACCCUCAUAACCUUAAACACUUCAGUUCCUGUUUGGCUUGAAAAUGUGCGAUACCAGCACGAAACGGACGUCGCCACAUCAAAUAAUGUGAGUGCUUUUUCACUUAAAAGUUUUAUAAAAUUUAAUAGUGAUAAUUAUAGUGGAAACAAGAUGGAUAACCAACAACAAUAUUCAUUUAGUUGAGUUUUGCACAUUCUAUACAUAACCCAAUGUUGCAAUAGUUUCAAUCAUAAUAAAACAACAAAUUCUUUACAAACAAUAAAUUGUAAUUUAUUCAGGUACUACUACUAUAGUACAUAGUUGUAAUCUCGUUUCUCACUAACCAAGCUUUGCGCCCCCCCUGAGCAUCAUUCAUCGCGCCCCCCUUGGGGGUCGCGCCCCACACUUUGAGAGCCACUGCAUUAGAGCAUUCAUGUUACAUGAAAUUUAAAAUAAUGAUAAUAUCAUUAUAUUCAUGCCAGAUUUCAUCAGUUUGUAAAAUUUCCAUGUGCCAUGGAAUAGGUAAAACUAUCAAUCAGACAAUGGAUAUAAGCAGAUCUCAAACAUGUGAGGCAAGGCAAUGGUUCAACAAUCACAGGCUGAAAUUGAAUGAAGACAAAACCCAGGUAUUAUAGUCUGUACAAAGAAAAAUGAUAUUAGACUUACAGACAAUGCCCUAGUGAAAUUACUUGGUUUCUGGAUUGACAGCAAAUUAUGUUGGAGUGAUCACUUAAGUAAUGUCUGCAUUAAGCUGUUACUCACUAGGGUUACUCACUUGCUGCUUAAAUUGAGGAACAUUGUCUCUGCAAACUACUUGCUUAUACAGUAUAUCACGCAUUGCUUCAUACACAUGUCACAUAUGGCCUCCUAAUGUGGGGACACACUCCAUAUUGCAAGGAUGUGCUACUGAUUCAAAAAAGAGCUCUGAGAAUAAUGACGUUCUCCAAUAAAUUAUUUGGAACAUUGCAGGCCGCUGUUCAGAAAGCUUCAAAUAAUGACUGUUUACAGCCAAUAUAUUUUCGUUGCAUUGAUGCAUGUGAGGAAGAAUAAUGAACAAAUGAAAAGGAGAAAUGAGGUCCACAACUACAAAACACGGUAGCAGGGAACCUGGAAAUUCCAUGAACUCGAUUGACAAGCAACAGAGGAGCUUCCAGAUAGCAGCAUUGAAGAUCUUCAAAAAACUUCCCACCGAUGUUCAGGAGAUUCGAGAAAGCCCUGAAAACCCAACUUCUUGAGCGGCCCUUGUACUACGCUCAAUGAACUGGACGAAGAGACACUUUUUACCCGGCUGGGUAUACGACUAUGACGCGGUCUAUCUGGCACCCCCAGUCAACGACCCAGACAUCAAGUAUCAAGUGGAUCCUGAGCCAUCAAAGGUCUCUGAUGAAGGGCCAGUAGAGGUAUCAGACAUCAAAUACAUCAUUGAUACAGAAGACAGGCUUGGCGAGCUGAAACUUCUCGAAGCAGUAAAGGUAACUUCAUAUGCAUCCAAGUAUUUAUUCAGGGACGCGACAGUCGAGGCCUGCAACCGUCGAGGACUGCGACAUUUGAGGACGGAUUUUCAGUCCUCUACGGUCACAGUCUUCAACUGUCGGGGCUGUACAAAAAUUAAAGAUUCCUCAACGGUAUUUGUAAAAAUUCAUUGAUUGUAUAAUCAAUAAGAUCUUUUGAAUCAUCAUCACCAUAAGACAGUAUUAACCAAUAAAAACAUCAAUGCAAAAUUUUCCUCUAUUUUUCAAAAUCUUGCAAUGGAUAGUAUCCAGUUCACUUCAAUAGAUAAGAAUUCAGUAUGCUCCAAAGAAAAGCUGCAAACACUUUUCAAUAGCUUACGUCUUUUCUCUUUCUAUUAAUAAUAAUUUUGAAAAUUAUGUUUGCAUUAGAACAUGUAAAACUGAAGAACAAGGAGAGUUUUUUCUAAUCUUAUUAUCUUGUCUUCCAUAGAACGCACUGAAAUGUGAAUCUCCUCCAUUUCUUAAACAUGGAUUUGUAAUCUAUAAUGUACUGAGAAUUUGACAUCCAAGUUCGAUACUUUACAAAAAAAUCUGGUGUGGUACACUCACACAACUUUCCUUGCUCAUCGAACUGUAAGCCUCAUUCUUAGACGAGAAUAAUUUAGGGGAAUAACAUAAUGACGAUUGGCGGCAAAAU